UGGAUAACUCUCCGAAAGGAGAGCUAAUACAGCAUGAGACCACGGCUUCGUUGAAGCUGCGGCCAAAGCAGGCCUCUACACGUAAGCUUGCGCUUGAGGACGAGUCUGCGGCCCAUCAGCUAGUUGGUAGGGUAAUGGCCUACCAAGGCUAAGACGGGUAGCUGGUCUGAGAGGAUGAACAGCCACACUGGAACUGAGACACGGUCCAG
rnacentral:rRNA from 1 species